rnacentral:Y_RNA from 1 species
GGCUGGUCAGAUGGAAUUGGGUUAUCAGAAAAACUAUUAAUGUCAGUGUUACUAAGCUUAGUAAACAACACCCCCACCUCAACACACACUGCUGGAUUUGAGUGGCUUAAA